GACAGAGGGGGCAAGCGUUGCUCGGAAUCACUGGGCGUAAAGGGCGCGUAGGCGGGAUGGCAAGUCGGUCGUGAAAUCCUUCGGCUCAACCGAAGAACGUCGGCCGAUACUGCCGUUCUUGAGGGAUGCAGAGGAGAUUGGAAUUCCCGGUGUAGCGGUGAAAUGUGUAGAGAUCGUAAGGAAGGCCAGUGGCGAAGGCGAGUUCCUGGACAGUUACUGACGCUGAGGCACGAAGGCCAGGGGAGCAAACGGG
rnacentral:rRNA from 1 species